CACCCCAUUCAAAGAUCAUCGCAGCUGGUCUGUUGAUCAGGUGCUUCUUUGAAGGAUCGCAAGCAAGCCUGCUUCAGGUUUUGUUUCCCAAAGAGCCCAAACCAUUUUCCGGUUUUCUGCUGGAGAGAUUGAUCAACAUGGAGAAGUGGCUCAGAAGGGGGUUAUGCUCGGCUGAAGAUAACUUCCCAGGUGCCGCUCGGCUCCUUCAACUGGCGUACAUACGUUUAUGUGGCCUACUCCUUGCCGUGAUCGGGUGGGUCCUGUGCCUUACGGCAACAGGAGCUGACGAAUGGAGAGUGUGGCACUCAAAGGAUGUGCCUGGCACCAGCCCUGCCAAGAUCUGGGUCGGAAUCUGGAAAGUUUGUUUUGUAGAUAAUCCUCCUGAAGGCGAGCCCACGAGGCAAUGCCAGGAAUUCCUGGAGCAACAUCAGUCCCUGCCAACAGAAAUUCUCAUCGCUCAGGACCUGAUGCCUUUCGCGAGUGUUGUCCUGUCUUUAGCUAUCGCGUGUAUUUCUUUUGCCUUGUGGAACAUUUUCCACAAUGUAAGACCGGAAAAGGUUUUUCUUGCUUUUUUCAGGGUUGGGGGAGCUUUAACUUUAUUGUCUGCUUUCAUCACUCUUAUUCCAGUUUUGUGGAAUAUGUAUUCCGUAGUGUCAAAUGAAAGGAUUGUGUUCCCCAGUGAUUUUAGCUUGCCUGCUCUUCCAAAUGAACAGACAGUUGGCUUCCCUAUAUAUGUGGGGGUUUUUGCUUCGGGAUUCCAGGUGACAACUUCAAUAUUUAUUUUCAGUGAGAAAUUCUGGAUUAGGUCCCAUAGAGUCCAUCCUGUGAUUAAGGUCACUCUGAAGACAUUAACCAGUAGAAAUGGCCCUGAAUCCUGUCCCUGUUGUGGAUCAUGUAUAUCGCUUGAUAAACUGAUAUUUGAAGAACAACUUUUUAUUGUUUAAAGGGGAGUAGAUAUUUUAAAACAGGGCUGUUUUAUUGUGUGCACAUUCCAAAAAUGACAUUGAACUGUUUCUGUUUUUACUUUGUGUUAAAAUAUGUUUAAAUGUAGAAUUAUUUGUUUUUAACUAAAUAAAUAAAAUUA